rnacentral:lncRNA from 1 species
AGAGGAAGGUGGGCCUGCAUCACACCAGCCUUUGUAGGCAGUUGUAUUAUUUUCCUAGGACUACUGUAAUGAAGUACCACAAAUUGGGUGGCUGAGAUAACACAACUUUAUUAACUCACCAUUCUGCAGACUGGAAGUCUAAAAUCAAGGUGUCAGCAUUUCUAGUUCCUUCUGAGGUCUGCAAGGGAGGAUCUGUCCCAUGCCUUUCUUCUAACUUCUCGUGGGCUCAAGCAUUUUGCUUUGUAGACACUGUGCUCCCUGUGCCUUCACAUUGUCUUCCCUCUGUACAUGUCUGUCUCUGGGUCUAAAUUGCCUUUUUCAUAAGGGCAUCAGUCAUAUUGGUUUAGGGCCCACCUACCAACCCCAUCUUACCUUAAUCAUCUGCAAAGAACCUAUUUCCAAAUAAGGUUACAUUCACAGGUCGCUCAGGUUGCCGUGUGGAGAAUGGAUUAUUGGCGGCAAGACCAGAAGCAGGGAUACCAGUGAAUGCAAAAAUUCAGGCAGGAGAUGCUGGUGGCUUGGAAGAAGGUGUCCUGGUAACUGUGGUCAGGGAAAGAAGAAGGGGAAAUGAAUACAAAAGAGAAAUAAG